rnacentral:misc_RNA from 1 species
UGCUUACUUAGUAAAUUGCUUUCAAAACUGAUUAUAUUCUUUCACAAUUUUAAAAGUAUUGAUUCAGAUCAGUUAUCGGAAAAUAUUUACCACUUUCGUCUUACCCCUAACGGGUAUCUCAAUAAAAAGACCUUUCACAUCACAUACUUAAUACAACUUACGAUCCACAUCAAAAAGUACACUAGUAAUA